AACGAACGCUGGCGGCAGGCUUAACACAUGCAAGUCGAACGCAUCCUUCGGGGUGAGUGGCAGACGGGUGAGUAACGCGUGGGAACGUGCCCUUCAGUUCGGGAUAACCCAGGGAAACUUGGGCUAAUACCGGAUACGUGCGAGAGCAGAAAGAUUUAUCGCUGAAGGAUCGGCCCGCGUCUGAUUAGCUAGUUGGUGGGGUAAUGGCCCACCAAGGCGACGAUCAGUAGCUGGUCUGAGAGGAUGAUCAGCCACAUUGGGACUGAGACACGGACCAAACUCCUACGGGAGGCAGCAGUGGGGAAUAUUGGACAAUGGGCGAAAGCCUGAUCCAGCCAUGCCGCGUGAGUGAUGAAGGCCUUAGGGUUGUAAAGCUCUUUCGUCCGGGACGAUAAUGACGGUACCGGAAGAAGAAGCCCCGGCUAACUUCGUGCCAGCAGCCGCCGUAA
rnacentral:rRNA from 1 species